rnacentral:rRNA from 2 species
AGACCGAUAGCGAACAAGUAGAGUGAUCGAAAGAUGAAAAGUACUUUGGAAAGAGAGUUAAAAAGCACGUGAAAUUGUUGAAAGGGAAGCGCCUGCAACCAGACUUCGCGGCAGUGUUCCGCCGGUCUUCUGACCGGUUCAUUCUCUGUCGCGAGGCCAUCAUCGUCUGGGCCCGCCGGAUAAGACCUUAGGAAUGUAGCUCACCUUCGGGGGAGUGUUAUAGCCUAGGGUGAUGCGGCGAGGCUCGGGCGAGGUCCGCGCUUCGGCAAGGAUGAUGGCGUAAUGGUUGUCGGCGGCCCGUCUUGAAACACGGACCAAG